rnacentral:lncRNA from 13 species
CGCAUGCGCACCGCGCCCGCAGCGAACCGAGCGACACGGCUGGCGCCCCGCGCAUGCGCUCCGGCCGCGCACCGGGGCUCCCCGCCGUGGCGGUGGGGCGCGGGCAGGGCCGCCAGCCCGGGCCGCGGCGGACAGAAUUGGUUGACAUGGUCACAAUUAUCCCUGUUGGGGUGGAGUCAGGCACCUGGGAAGAGGCCACAUUGUGGUUUGGAAGAAUGAUGGGCUGUCCAAUGGUUCCCUUUUUUGACAGCUUGAUCCUGCUGGUUGGUGUCUCUCCCAGCUCAUUUCCUAAGGUAAAGAACAGAAAAACAGGGCAGGCAGAGAGUUAA